AGAAUAAAAUAGAAGAGAUUUUACCUAAUUUGGAUUUGGUUUGACUCAAUUUUCGACGGCCACAAGAAGAUUAAUCCGUCAGCAAAUAAGACGAAAGAAGGGAAGAAACUCAGUGAUUAAUCGAUGAUUUUUGUGAGAAACAAACUGUUGAGAUUGAGGUCUUUAAAUAGAUCUUAACUAGGGAGAGUUUCAAUUCGAUUUCAAUCAGGUUUUCUAGAUGAUAUUUGGAUU
rnacentral:lncRNA from 1 species